rnacentral:misc_RNA from 1 species
UUCAUCAUCAGGGAUCUCAACAUGGGGGGGUAGUUUCUUUCCUUCCUUUAUGAUGAUCGGCUUGGGCCCUGGCCGUGCGCGGCCCAUGGAGACUGAGAGCUUAUGAGGAAUUUGAUGCGCUACCCGAGCAGGAUAUCCUUUUCGGACUAAGUAAUAUUAUUAUAAUUAAUGUUUCGCUUCCACAUCUUUCAUCUUAACAUAAUUCAUUCAAUAAUAAAAAUAAAUCACACUCUUUUUUUAUAUAUAUUUAUUUUUGUUACACCCGAGAAUCACAUAUACGACAUGCCGAUUGUGAAACGUGUCAUUACUUUGUGCCCUUUGAAUCUUUGUCGUGUAGCCUCAUUGGACAGACCAGACCUCCUUUCUUUUCAUUUUUCAUUUUAAGAAAAAUUUUGUAUUUGAUUCUAAAAUUUUACUAUUAAUCUUAAAUAUUUUAAAAAUUG